UAAAACUAUACCAACAUUCAACUCUUUCAAAAUCUCUCUCAUUUCUUUAAACCUGUUAAUAUUUUUUGUGUGUUGAAUUUGUUAUAACUUUAUUGAUUAAAGCUACUAUUUUUUCUCUUCUAUUUUCUUCUUCAGAUCUGUAGAAGAUUGUAGAUGAGAUUUUGGAUUUGGAGCUAAUAGUAUAUCAAAGGUAUCUUAUCUUCAAGUUCUGAUGAUUUUAUGUUUUAUUUUUAUUUUCAGAGCUGUAAAAAUAUUAUGGACGGAACUUUGUAAUCCAGAGAAGUUUGAUGAAUGAGCCUUUAUGAAAUUAGAUCUAUAAAAGUUUGUGGAUGAGAUUUUGAAUCUAGAUCCAAUAACAAAUCAGAGAUAUCUAUGUUCAAGAAUGAUCAAAGGGAAUAUGAACUGAUCUAACAAUAAGAGGAUGCAGGUAUAUGUAUCUCUUUCCUUUUUAUUUAUUUUGUUUUAUAUCAAUUUUGUAUCUACAAGGAGAAUAAAUUAAUUUUUCAUGAUUUUUCUUUAAAGGAACAACAGAUAAAUGCAGGUACC